rnacentral:lncRNA from 14 species
AGCUCCUCGAAACACAAGGAGAAUAAGUUAGCCAAACAACUGAGUGCUUACAGAACACUGAGCAAGGACUGAGACUGGAGGUUUCCAACAUGUCUUCAGAAA